rnacentral:rRNA from 1 species
UACGGAGGAUGCGAGCGUUAUCCGGAUUUAUUGGGUUUAAAGGGUGCGUAGGCGGGUUAUCAAGUCAGCGGUAAAAUCGUGGAGCUCAACUCCAUCCAGCCGUUGAAACUGAUGAUCUUGAGUGGGCGAGAAGUAUGCGGAAUGCGUGGUGUAGCGGUGAAAUGCAUAGAUAUAUGGAAGAACACCAGUGGCGAAGGCGGCCGCCUGGCCUGUUACUGACGCUGAGGCACGAAAGCGUGGGGAGCAAAUAGG